rnacentral:rRNA from 1 species
AGCUCAAAUUUGAAAUCUGGCGCAAGCCCGAAUUGUAAUUUGCAGAGGAACGUUCGGCGACGGCUAGGUCUAAUUUUUCUGGAAGGAAAAGCCACUGAGGGUGAGAGCCCCGUAUGACUGAAGCCCGAACCAUGUGUACGUCCUUCGAA